UCUGUCAUGAUGAUCAGGAAGAUUAUCGUGUAGCAUUAGCAUGUCUACUUUAUUAUUGACAUUUUUGACAGAGGUAGGAUCAGGUAGCUUUGCCUUACCUUUAUCAAGGUAUGCAUCUUCAAGUAGUGCCAGUGAAGAAUUCUAUAAAAACAUUAAGUUAAGGAGUUAUUCCGAUUCAGGAGGAAAAUGAACUCUUGUUCAAAAUAAUAGUAGAAUAGAGCAUAGCGAAAAAAAUAGAAACACAAUCAAAUAGAAUUUCUAAAGUAAAAUCAUGAACAACAUAUUACAGCCAGGGAAAGACAUGACAUGAAUUCAAUAUACAAUAGACAUAACACAGACGUUCUCCUGGAUAAAAGCAGCUGCUAAAUGUAAAUGUAAACGUUCAAACAUAAUGUAACUAUAAAAUGGUAAACAUUUAUAAAAAAAAAGAAAGAUUGGCAUUGCUGCAUUCAUAGGGCGCAUGUCUAAAAAACGACUUUACUUCCCUCAGGAAACACACAGCAAACACGCCCUGAGUAACUGGUAAGUCUAUCAAACCUGCAUCUCCUUGUACAAAAACCGCCAACUAUGUAUGCUAAUGAUAAAAAAGUGACAAGACAGGGUUUACAAUUAGAGAAAAUGGUUAGUAGUAAGUGUUAAAAAAUGUAUGUCCGGACUAAGGAAACAUACUAAGUAGAGUAAUUUACAAUCAACUUACUUCGACAUAUUUCCCAUCCGUCCCCUCAAAUCCUACAUUGGGAGUUUCUAUAAUCAAAUGAAAUUAAAGUGAGAUUACAGAUCUUAAAGCAUCAACAUUGAAGUCCACCUUGUUUGUUUGUUAAUCAUCAUAAGAAAAACACACCUGUAAAUCAUAAAACAAAUGUUGGUUAUUCUUGUUAUGUGUUUUUGUGACUAUUGAGACUAGGAAUCUGAUUCCAUACAUUUCAUUUAGUUAAAUUGACUGAUUAACACAGAACAUAUAAACCAUCAAGUCAUUAUAUUUAAAGGUCCAGUGUGUAAAAUGUUGUAGCAUCUAGGGGUGAGGCUGCAGAUUGCCACCAACUGACCCCUCUCCCUUUCCAUGGACUACAUUGGCCUGUAUUGUGCAAGGUGCCAGUAGGUAAUUUUAAAAUGAUGUCAUCAUCAACCUCAGCAUCUAUCAAGGAGGUUCUUGAUUUAUUAGUAAGUAGUAUAUUUAGUUGUUUACAUCAAAUAUGAUUGUUUGUUGCAAUUUGUUCACACGUCAAUAGAUAAAAUGGGCUUGUACACAUGCCGCAAUU